ACAGCAGUCGCCGCGGUAAUACGUAGGGUGCAAGCGUUAAUCGGAAUUACUGGGCGUAAAGCGUGCGCAGGCGGUUUUGUAAGUCUGUCGUGAAAUCCCCGGGCUCAACCUGGGAAUGGCGAUGGAGACUGCAAGGCUAGAAUCUGGCAGAGGGGGGUAGAAUUCCACGUGUAGCAGUGAAAUGCGUAGAUAUGUGGAGGAACACCGAUGGCGAAGGCAGCCCCCUGGGCUAAGAUUGACGCUCAUGCACGAAAGCGUGGGGAGCAAACAGGAUUAGAUACCCCUGUAGUCCCUGUCUCUUAUAC
rnacentral:rRNA from 1 species